GGGAGGAAAGGGUCUGGUGGCCCCCGUGGACUGCAAAUCCACUGGCCCGAAGUAAACCUUCGGGAGUGAGGUGUGAACCCACUUCCUCCCUCCA
rnacentral:tRNA from 1 species